AACCUCUCAGGUUCAUAUCUGGAGAGUUUUGAGUACUCUACCAGUCUCAGCUACAGGAGGGAGAGGCAAGCAGAGACAGACCCAUUCCAUUCCUAGCUUGGGCAGUGGCUAGCGAGUAGAAGGCAACCUGCCACAAGU